AUGUCAUGAUGAGAGCACUUUUGUAAUAACUCCUUGAAACUCUCCCAUGUCUCAUAUAAAGAUUCUUCGCCAAGUUGCUGAAAUGAAGUGAUUUCAUUACGAAUUU
rfam:Gossypium raimondii chromosome 11, whole genome shotgun sequence.